rnacentral:rRNA from 1 species
UCGGGAAUCUUGGGCAAUGGGCGAAAGCCUGACCCAGCGACGCCGCGUGGAGGACGAAGCCCUUCGGGGUGUAAACUCCUUUUGCCAGGGACGACUUCGGACGGUACCUGGUGAAUAAGCCCCGGCUAACUCCGGGCCAGCAGCCGCGGUAAUACGUAGGGGGCGAGCGUUGCCCGGCUUUACUGGGCGUAAAGCGCACGUAGGGGGGUCGGUAGGUCUGGUGGGAAAUCUCCCGGGUCAACCGGGGGG